ensembl:snRNA U2 U2 spliceosomal RNA
AUUGCUUCUUGGCCUUUUGGCUGAGGUCAGCUGUACUGUCUGUUCUGAUACGUUUAAUAUCUGAUAUGUUCUCUGUCCGAGGACAGUCUUCUAAAUGGAUUUAUUAAUAAGUUCAUAAGGAAGAGAUACAGCUGGUACAGCAUUAUUUUAGCUUCAGGAUAUAGCAGUG